rnacentral:tRNA from 1 species
GGUCUCGUAGUUCAGUUGGUUAGAAUGCCUGCCUGUCACGCAGGAGGUCGCGGGUUCGAGUCCCGUCGAGACCGCCA